CGUGGCUGUUGAAGAUGUGGCUGUGGACUUUUCCCCGGAAGAGUGGACCUUGCUGGAUCGUUCUCAGAGGAAACUCUACAGACACGUGAUGAUGGAAACUUUCAGAAACCUGGCCUCAGUGGUUUCACAAAACCUGGAUGAUGGAGAAAAGCUGUCCACUGAAAAUACAAGAGUGAAGUUCCUGAAAAAGGACACCUGGUCCUCCGUGGUAGGAAAACCAUGUGUGUUUCCUGUCGUUCAAGAUCAGGAUAAGAAGCAGAACUCUUGCGGCAGAAGACAUAUCAAACUGAAUGUCUGUGAAAUGAAG